rnacentral:rRNA from 1 species
UACAGAGGUCCCAAGCGUUGUUCGGAUUCACUGGGCGUAAAGGGUGCGUAGGCGGCCGGGUAAGUCUGUUGUGAAAUCUCCAAGCUUAACUUGGAAACUGCAGUGGAUACUAUCCGGCUAGAGGAAUGGAGGGGAGACUGGAAUACUUGGUGUAGCAGUGAAAUGCGUAGAUAUCAAGUGGAACACCAGUGGCGAAGGCGAGUCUCUGGACAUUUCCUGACGCUGAGGCACGAAAGCGUGGGUAGCAAACAGG